rnacentral:misc_RNA from 1 species
GUUGCUCCUAACACAAGACAGUAUAAUAUAAUCCUUCUCCCUUCCCUGAAAGGAGUCAACACUGGCAACCUCAAUUUCCUUGUAGAGUUGUUGUCUAAGAGAUCCAUUUCUUGACAUGUAAUUAACUAUAUAUGCUCGUUGUCCUUCGUACGGUGUUAUAACUCCAAUCUGACUGGGCACGACACCACUCCUGAGAAAAGUAGUCACAAUUUUUU